GGUAUGCACUGGCUUUGCUGGUUCCUCCUUUCUGAAGAACUGUAAUGCCAUUAAUUUGGUGUUGUAGGGAAACAGGACUGUUACUUUGAAAAAAUUAGAGUGUUUAAAGCAGGCUAACGCUUGAAUACAUUAGCAUGGAAUAAUGAAAUAGGACGUUCGAUCCUAUUUUGUUGGUUUCUAGGAUUGACGUAAUGAUUAAUAGGGAUAGUUGGGGGCAUUAGUAUUCAAUUGUCAGAGGUGAAAUUCUUGGAUUUAUUGAAGACUAACUACUGCGAAAGCAUUUGCCAAGGAUGUUUUCAUUAAUCAAGAACGAAAGUUAGGGGAUCGAAGACGAUCAGAUACCGUCGUAGUCUUAACCAUAAACUAUGCCGACUAGGGAUCGGAUGAUGUUAAUUUUUUAAUGACUCAUUCGGCGCCUUACG
rnacentral:rRNA from 1 species